CCUUCACUCCUUUCACCCAUGGCAUGAUAUUUCCCCAUCUUCGCACUCCGAUAGAAUCUGCAACUAUUGUUUAUUACUAACACCAGGAAACAGACAUUUCAAUUUUCAGCCCACCACUUUAUAAGGGCCUCAGCAGCAUCAGGGGUAUGAGAAAGCAGACGGAUAGGAGAAAUGGUAUUGAUCUAAUUGAUCAAUCUGUUACUUCUGCAGCUUGAUCAAGAGCUCCUUCAUCUUCAAAUACUUGUUGGAUUGGCUGUCUUUCUCUCUCUCUCUCUCUCUCUCUCUCUCUCUCUCUAGUUCUGCCUCUCCUUCUCUGCACCUAGACUAGAGUGAAGAUCUGACACAUCCUGGUCUUUGAAUUUAUUGAAAAAGGUGUCUAUAAAAAAAAAAAAAAAGAAUCAUCUUGCUAAAAUCCUUUCAUUAGCGAAGGCAACACCUGAAAUCCAAUAAAAGAACCUCAUAGAUGCCAAGUCUAUUCCCAUAAACAUAGCAGGAAAUUGAAGUAGGAUCAAUUAACCUUAACACUUCUCUCUCUCUCUCUCUCUCUCUCUCUCUCUCUCUGUUUUCUAAAAAAAUUUAUUUUUGUUGGUAUACCGGCGGAUGAACUAUUUAUUACCCCUGAGAUGCCACAACUAACAUGAGCAGCAAAAUUGCAUUCCUCGCAGUAAUCUAUAAACAGGAAAGUUGGGGUUUCAUGGUUCCUCACACGCAUAGCAGCAGUACCCAUCUGGAUACCCUCCCUCAAGCACUACCUUUGUGUAGACAAGAUCAUGAUAGUUAUGGUUCUCAUGCCUGAGUUUUUUUCUGGUAAAAGUGAGUGGAUCAGAGCACAGUGCAAAUGGAGAGCAUGGAGACAUCCAGGAAUUCAAGCACAGAUAAAAAGUUCAGUGAGUAGCUCUCAGUGCCACCAAAAUCGUCCGCGCCAGACGCUUGGUAAAUUCUGAGAAUUCCACCUUCUCCAGGAGAAAGAGGAGAUAAUCGGGAUCCGGAGGAAUGCACAAUCUAAAUUGAGGAUAAGAUCACACUCCUCACAUCGGUAUAGGGGCUGUCGAGACAUCUUCUGACAGCAGGAGCAAUGGUAUUCUAUCCUCAAACUCACCCCACGGAAACGCUCUUUGAAGUCAAAUAUUAAAGGGUGAGGAGGGUGGAGGCGGCUUUGGAUUUCUAGGGGUUCUAGGGGUAGCAUAACUCGGCUCAUGAUUUGGGGAGGUUGCUGCAAUCGCUGCAGGCAUAGAUCGGGCCCCCACGGGACUGGAGGCACCCUUGGCAAGUGAACUUUUCAGGACAAACAUAUGAUUGGACUAAUGGGUGCUUGGGAGUGAGACCUUCAAAUGCAUGUUACCUGCCUACACUCAAUAUUUUACCAUAUCAAUUGUGUUCAAAUUUGAUUUGCGCCAAACUGACGAACAUUUAUAUAACCACCGUCCCCUUACAUUCAUGGCAAGGUAGUACGUUACUGCGACACCUGAGAAACAGGGUUGGAUCCCGGGUUUCCUAUAUAUGCUGUACUGGAUCUGAAAGUGAGUUCACUUCUCAUCUGGCUUGUGCGCUAUCUGAGUUACUACCUUACUUGAUUGAGUAGGGGGAGACUAAUUCCAAAGCACAAAGUGGAACUGGAGAUCGAUGUUGUCAACACGGACCUCGAGCCCAAUCAAUCAAUCAAACAAAGAGAUACGAAUAGAGGAGCUGCGUCAAAAGUAAAAAGAUCUGAGCUUACGGCUGGAAGUUAUAAUAGAUGCAUUGAACAAAGCGGAGGACAAGUACGCCCAGGUAUGCUGCAUCUGCAAUGGAAAGUGCAAGGAAUUGAGUUCCCAAUUACCAAGUGAUGGAGUGGUAGUAGACAAUCUAGAGAUUGUGUUCUCUUCUCGUGUUUGUUGAUGAGUUUCAGUGACUAAACUAUGUCAAUGUAAACAUGGUAUAAGUUCGCUACU